UUAGUCAUGAGAACUUUAUCUUGAGUUUUUCCUUUUGCUGGUAGAAGCUAGUAGAAGUUGUACCUGUUAGAUCUUCAUUGGCUGACUCUCAUUCACUAACUUAAGGGUGAUCUAGGUAUCAUUCUUGCUUCCACUUAAUAGAAGCAAAAUAAAAAAGUUGGUUAUCAGAUCAUGUGCAUUUUCUUUCAUCACAUUGUGACAAGAAAAAAAGGUAGCCCGUUUUUAUUUAUUUUGGCGAUGGAUGAAUUGACACGACACAUUCAAGGGAAGGUGCCUUGCUGCAUGCUAUUUGUUGAUGACAUUGUAAUGAUUGAUAAGAUGCAUAGCGGAGUUAACGACAAGCUAGAGGUAUGGAGAUAGACCUUGGUGUCUAAAGGUUUUAGGUUGAGCAUGGCUAAGACAUAGUACGUGGAGUGCAAAUUCAGGGAUGUGCCUUGUGUAGCUGACGUGGAAGUGAGGUUGGAUUCUCAAGUCAUCUCCAAUAAAGGGAGCUUCAAGUACUUAGGUCCUAUUAUCCUAGGUAAUCAGGAAAUUAGCAGGGAUAUCACACAUCACAUAUGUACGGGGUGGUUGAAAUGGAGGCUAGCAACUGGUGUCUUAUGUGAUAAGAAGGUGCCACUAAGAUGUAAAAGUAUGUUCUACAAAGUAGUAGUUAGAUGGAUUUUGUUGUAUGAGGUAAAGUGUUGGCUAGUUAAGAACUCUUAUGUCAUGAAGAUGAAAUUUGUGGAAAUGAGGAUGUUGAGAUGGAUGUGUACGCUUACUAGGAGAGAUAUGAUCAGAAAUGAAGAUAUUCGGGCCAAGAUAUAAGUGGCCUCCGUGGCGCACAAAAUGCGGGAGGUGAGGCUGAGGUGGUUCAGACAUGUCAAGAAGAGAUGCAUAGACUCUCUAGUGAGGAGGUGUGAGAGGUUGACACUGGAGGGUCAGACAAGAUAUGACAAGUCUUCAACUUACCUAGGACAUGACCUUUGAUAGGUAGAGUUAGGCCAAAAACGUAUUUGGGGGAGGUGAUCAGAUAAGAUAUGACAAGUCUUCAGCUUACCUAGGACAUGACCCUUGAUAGG
rnacentral:lncRNA from 1 species